GAUGAACGCUGGCGGCGUGCCUAAUACAUGCAAGUCGAGCGAACAGACGAGGAGCUUGCUCCUCUGACGUUAGCGGUGGACGGGUGAGUAACACGUGGAUAACCUACCUAUAAGACUGGGAUAACUUCGGGAAACCGGAGCUAAUACCGGAUAAUAUAUUGAACCGCAUGGUUCAAUAGUGAAAGACGGUUUUGCUGUCACUUAUAGAUGGAUCCGCGCCGCAUUAGCUAGUUGGUAAGGUAACGGCUUACCAAGGCAACGAUGCGUAGCCGACCUGAGAGGGUGGUCGGCCACACUGGAACUGAGACACGGUCCAGACUCCUACGGGAGGCAGCAGUAGGGAAUCUUCCGCAAUGGGCGAAAGCCUGACGGAGCAACGCCGCGUGAGUGAUGAAGGUCUUCGGAUCGUAAAACUCUGUUAUUAGGGAAGAACAAAUGUGUAAGUAACUAUGCACGUCUUGACGGUACCUAAUCAGAAAGCCACGGCUAACUACGUG
rnacentral:rRNA from 1 species